ensembl:lncRNA
AUCGGCACAGAAAAGGAGUCCUGCUCCUUCAACAGAGCUGCCUGUGGGUCCUCAGCACGUGUCACGAACAGGUGCAAGGAGUGGGGCCAGCUCAGUGGGUCUGUGACGGAUCUGCCACACAGGGCCCCACCCUCAGGGAUGCCCUGUGCUCAAAGGGCCCACGCUUGGGUUCAUGCUCUGUCGUCACCAUCUUGAAACUCUUAGUCACUGUUGAACAAGGGCUCCACGUUUUAAUUUUGCACUGGGCUUUGCAAACUACGUAGCCAGUCCCGGCAAGGAGCCCCGGGCCUCUGGACCUCCACUUUGCUUUCCAGCUUCCUAAGCCGAGCAGCCAGCUUUUCAUACCAGGGUCUUACUUUUUAACAGAAACUGCAGCGAGGCCGGCAGGAGGACGGGUGCACGGCUGCGGCCCCAACAGUGGGCUCCUGUGUGCCGACUGCAUUCAGCGCAGCUCCACACGCGGGGGUAAAUCCACGGGCUCUGCGGUUGCCUGGCCACAGGGACCAUAAAUUGUGACACUUGCGGUCAUGGAAGUGCCGAGUGAUAAAAACUCGACGUCACAAAGUGUCCUUAACCUGCUGCUGCCUCAUCUUUCUCAUUUGUGACUUGGUUAAAGAAAAUUUUUUUGUAACAGUUUCAGGCUCUUCUUUUUCGUUUCCUCAGUCUGCUGCAGAACCCCUUCAGUCAGGGAGGGAAAAGCAACCAAGCCAAUCUGGUCUCCUUGUUGGCACCUCUGUGAGGCCAGCUGGCUAGAGGGAGGGGGCCCGAUGGCGGAGGGAGAGGGCGAUGCUGGGGUCCCAGCAGCCCCCAAAGCAGGCGGGGCCCUCUCCUCGAAGAAGCUCACCUUUAACCUCCAAGCCCAGCCGACAGGCCCCCUGAUUGUGCAGUAGAUUACAAAUCGCACAAGAACCCAGAGCAGACAACAGACACAGGAGAAACACAGCCCUUGCCCCCAAAUCUGCGCUCCAUGAACCAGCUAUUUGGGGCCCAGAAGCUCCCAGGAACUGAAGUCUGAAGGUGGUGAGAAUCCAGGCAUGAGGCCAAGUCUGAGCUCCACUGGCUACUGGCCCGGGGACUUUGGGCAAGUCAUUUCUCUCUGAGCCUCAGUUUCCCCAGUUUGGAGAGAGUGGUGGCGGUAAACAAUAGCCCCAGCCUCACAAGGCCAAGCCGGGCAGGAGAUGCGCUAGAGUGCUCUGGCUCUGGCACAGGGUCUGCCCCCCCCGCCCUCCCCCCAGUCCCUGCAACUCACCAAGGAGGGGCUCCUCCGGUGGGGAAAGUGGCACAGGGGCAGAGAGACCAGAACCCCGCUCCCCACCCUUUUCCCGGGCAGCAUGGGAGACUGGUACCUUUGGGAGAGGUGCUCAGAGCUACAGGGUUGCGGCACUCCAAACGGGAGGGUCUGGCUUCACGGCUACCCCAGCUGGUUCAGGGACAGGCCUCCUCCCUUCAUCGGCAGAGCCCAGUGGGCACGGCAGCCCUCGAGAAUAACCCAGCCCAGAAACGGCCAAAGAGCCAGGGAAGGGGCCCCGCCUCUCACUCUGCUACCAGCUUCCAGGCGGUUCCCUUUCGCUGGACCGGGGCAUCCUCGCAGCCCAGUCCUGGACCCAGCUCUGCGUCCCUGACCUGCCACAGCUGGAAAAAAGAAAAAGAGAUAUUUGUUUUUAUUUAAUUUGUUUAUAAAAAGAAAAGUGUUUGUUACAGAAAAUUUGGAAAUACAGAAAAGCACAAAAAAGAAAACAAAAAUUACCCGUGAGAUAACUACCAGGUAUGUUUUCUUGAAGUCCUUCUGGUAUCUUUCCCAAACCAUAUACUAUAUGUACUAGACAUGUCUGUAUGAUCAUACUAUAGGUUAUUUCAGAUCCUUUUCGCUUAAUAUGUUGUGAGUAUUUUGUGUCAUUAAGUAUUAUUCUCUAUGGGAUUUGAAAAAUAAAAUCUAAAUAUCAACUAAUUUUUUAAAUCAACUUCACUGAGGUGUAAUUUCCAUGAAGAUCUCUUUCACUUGUGCUGUUCGACGAGUUUUGACACAUGCAUACCCCCAUGUAACCAGCACCACAAUCAAGAAAAAAAAUACGAUCACCACAAAAUGUCCCCUAGUCCCCCUUGCAGGCGGGCCCUACCUCCCAGGUCCCAGGCAGACACCCAUCUGAAUCCUACCACUGUAGAUUAGUUUUACCUUUAUUUAAUUUAACAUAAGC